GACGAACGCUGGCGGCGUGCUUAACACAUGCAAGUCGAGCGGUAAGGCCCUUUCGGGGGUACACGAGCGGCGAACGGGUGAGUAACACGUGGGUGACCUGCCCUCAGCUCUGGGAUAAGCCUGGGAAACCGGGUCUAAUACCGGAUAUGACUCCAUGACGCAUGCUGUGGGGUGGAAAGCCUUGUGCGGCUGAGGAUGGGCCCGCGGCCUAUCAGCUUGUUGGUGGGGNGAUGGCCUACCAAGGCGACGACGGGUAGCCGGCCUGAGAGGGCGACCGGCCACACUGGGACUGAGACACGGCCCAGACUCCUACGGGAGGCAGCAGUGGGGAAUCUUGCGCAAUGGGCGAAAGCCUGACGCAGCGACGCCGCGUGAGGGAUGACGGCCUGGUGUAACU
rnacentral:rRNA from 1 species